CCUACGGGAGGCAGCAGUGGGGAAUAUUGGACAAUGGGCGCAAGCCUGAUCCAGCCAUACCGCGUGUGUGAAGAAGGCCUUUUGGUUGUAAAGCACUUUAAGCGAGGAGGAGGCUCUUGAGGUUAAUACCCUUGAUGAGUGGACGUUACUCGCAGAAUAAGCACCGGCUAACUCUGUGCCAGCAGCCGCGGUAAUACAGAGGGUGCGAGCGUUAAUCGGAAUUACUGGGCGUAAAGCGCGCGUAGGCGGCUUGUUAAGUCGGAUGUGAAAUCCCCGGGCUCAACCUGGGCACUGCAUUCGAUACUGGCAAGCUAGAGUAUGGGAGAGGAAGGUAGAAUUCCAGGUGUAGCGGUGAAAUGCGUAGAGAUCUGGAGGAAUACCGAUGGCGAAGGCAGCCUUCUGGCCUAAUACUGACGCUGAGGUGCGAAAGCAUGGGGAGCAAACAGGAUUAGAUACCCUGGUAGUCCAUGCCGUAAACGAUGUCAACUAGCCGUUGGGGACCUUGAGUCUUUAGUGGCGCNGCACGCGAUAGUUAGACCGCCGUCGGGAGGUACGGUCGCGAGAACGUAAACCGUACGAAGAAGUAGUAGGACGACGAGAGAGCGACGGACGACGACGACGGGAGGGAGGAGG
rnacentral:rRNA from 1 species